rnacentral:rRNA from 1 species
GGAUUACCUCAGUAACGGCGAGUGAAGCGGUAACAGCUCAAAUUUGAAAUCUGGCUCUUUCAGGGUCCGAGUUGUAAUUUGUAGAAGAUGCUUCGGGUGUGGCCCCGGUCUAAGUUCCUUGGAACAGGACGUCAUAGAGGGUGAGAAUCCCGUAUGUGACUGGGUGCCUUCGCUCAUGUGAAGCUCUUUCGACGAGUCGAGUUGUUUGGGAAUGCAGCUCAAAAUGGGUGGUAAAUUUCAUCUAAAGCUAAAUAUUGGCUAGAGACCGAUAGCGCACAAGUAGAGUGAUCGAAAGAUGAAAAGCACUUUGGAAAGAGAGUUAAACAGUACGUGAAAUUGUUGAAAGGGAAGCGCUUGCAACCAGACUUGCGCGUUGUCGAUCAUCCGGGGUUCUCCCCGGUGCACUCGACCUCGCUCAGGCCAGCAUCGGUUUCGGUGGUGGGAUAAAGGCCUUGGGAAUGUAGCUUCUUUCGGGGAGUGUUAUAGCCCUCGGUGCAAUGCCGCCUACCGGGACCGAGGACCGCGCUUCGGCUAGGAUGCUGGCGUAAUGGUUGUAAGCGACCCGUCUUGAAACACGGACCAAGGAGUCUAACAUCUAUGCGAGUGUUUGGGUGUCAAACCCAUACGCGUAAUGAAAGUGAACGGAGGUGAGAACCCUUAAGGGUGCAUCAUCGACCGAUCCUGAUGUCUUCGGAUGGAUUUGAGUAAGAGCAUAGCUGUUGGGACCCGAAAGAUGGUGAACUAUGCGUGAAUAGGGUGAAGCCAGAGGAAACUCUGGUGGAGGCUCGCAGCGGUUCUGACGUGCAAAUCGAUCGUCAAAUUUGCGUAUAGGGGCGAAAGACUAAUCGAACCAUCCGUAUG